AUUUAUUCUAUAGAAAAAAAUCAUUCCAAGCAUAAACAUUCGAAUGCGUUGCACCUCUUUUUCCUCGACGUUUGCUUUCGAAAUGCCAAGUUGAUUGCAACAAGGUUCAGUCGGUUCAGAAUAAAUAGACACGCAGCAACACGUCGCCAUCGUUUAUCGUGGACUCUGACAUGCAUUCAGCAGAAAUGUCUUUAUUGAACUAGCGUUUUCUGGUAUUAUUUGUUGACAUGACAAGCCAAUGUUCAUGUUCUCAAAGUGUGAAAUGUCGCCGCUUAUAAGGACUGUCAUUGACACGUGUAACCAAGUUAAUGCGGUGCUGAUCGCUAGCCACACAAGACAAGUCUCACCAUGUCGUCCACCAGCGCACAAGUCAAGAAUCAUCGGCAGCCAACAUUAUCAGUUUGCUGUGCUGCCAAUGCGUCUUGGCGCGAUUAUCUUUUACUUCUCUGCGGCAUUUUGCUGAUGACAGUUCUAUUAUCGUUUUACUACUACUUUUAUCUCCUGCGUAUUGAUUCAUUCGCGUCGGAAACGGUCGGCGAAAGCCUCUCGAACGGACGGAGCCAGUCCGUCAAUGGAACCAUUCAGCCUCCUAUCUGACUCAAUCAAAAGGCGAAUGUACUAUUUCGCAAUUCUAAAACGCCAUCGUGCUGCUGUUUUUCAAUGCGAGUUGGAAAUACGGUCGCGAACGUCUCGUCAAAUAAGCUAUAUUAUCCAACAAUUUUUAUUUCGUGAAGUCAAGCGGACGGGAAAAUGUAUACAUUAGUUUCCCCUCGGGAAUUCUGGCAGCCUAUCGGAGAGAAGCUUUGAAAUGAAAAAGAUGCGCUCUGCUGUUUGUAUAAUAGUUCUGUACAUGAAUAGUUUCUCUUCUGUAACGCGACGAGAUAGCGAAUAAAUGCGCGUUUAUAGUCUC